rnacentral:rRNA from 1 species
AGAGUUUGAUCAUGGCUCAGAUUGAACGCUGGCGGCAUGCCUAACACAUGCAAGUCGAACGGCAGCACAGUGGUAGCAAUACCAUGGGUGGCGAGUGGCGGACGGGUGAGUAAUGCAUCGGGACCUACCUGAACGUGGGGGAUAACGUAGGGAAACUUACGCUAAUACCGCAUACGUCCUACGGGAGAAAGCGGGGGACCUUCGGGCCUCGCGCGGUCAGACGGACCGAUGUUCGAUUAGCUAGUUGGUGAGGUAAUGGCUCACCAAGGCGACGAUCGAUAGCUGGUCUGAGAGGAUGAUCAGCCACACUGGGACUGAGACACGGCCCAGACUCCUACGGGAGGCAGCAGUGGGGAAUAUUGGACAAUGGGCGCAAGCCUGAUCCAGCAAUGCCGCGUGUGUGAAGAAGGCCUUCGGGUUGUAAAGCACUUUUAUCGGGAGCGAAAUACUACUGGUUAAUAACCGGUGGGGCUGACGGUACCCGAGGAAUAAGCACCGGCUAACUUCGUGCCAGCAGCCGCGGUAAUACGAAGGGUGCAAGCGUUAAUCGGAAUUACUGGGCGUAAAGGGUGCGUAGGCGGUUUGUUAAGUCUGUCGUGAAAUCCCCGGGCUCAACCUGGGAAUGGCGAUGGAUACUGGCAAGCUAGAGUGUGUCAGAGGAUGGUGGAAUUUCCGGUGUAGCGGUGAAAUGCGUAGAGAUCGGAAGGAACAUCAGUGGCGAAAGCGGCCAUCUGGGACAACACUGACGCUGAAGCGCGAAAGCGUGGGGAGCAAACAGGAUUAGAUACCCCGGUAGUCCACGCCCUAAACGAUGCGAACUGGAUGUUGGUCUCAACUCGGAGAUCAGUGU